rnacentral:tRNA from 1 species
GGGACUGGAGCUCCAGUUGGUCAGAGCGGCGGACACAAUCCGCUGGUUGCUGGUUCGAGUCCAGCCGGCCCCC